rnacentral:lncRNA from 10 species
UUUUGUUUUAUACAGGCAACAUUUAUCUGGAUUUGCAUAGAUGUUUACCAUUUUCUUUACUCAGUGUUUUAUCAAAUACAUCCUUUAGGAAUUCCUUUAAUUUGGUCUCUUGUUGGCGUAUGUUCAGUUUUCAUUUGUCUAUUAAAUGUUUAUCACUUUUUUCGUGAUAGGUUGUUCUGCUGGGUUCACAAUUUUAGGUUGCCAGUUCUGUUUUUUUGUUUGUUUGUUUGUUUGACACUUGGAAGAUAUUAUUCUAGUGUCUUCAAUAUUCUGUCUUUGGUCUUUGGUCAUUCUAAUUACCUUUUCUUUGUAUAUGAUCUGUCCCUUCUCCAUGGCUUCUUUUAAAAUCUUCUCUUUAUCUUUGGUGUUUUUCAGUUAAAUAUGUAAUAGAACUAGGCACUGAUUUGUUUAUAUUUAUCCUGCUCGAGACACAUGAUGUUUCAUGUAUCUGUGGCUUUUUAUAGUUUAAAAUAAUUUCUGGAAAAGUCAUAGUCAUUAUCUCUUUAACCGCUCCCUCUCUUCCAUUCUCUUUGUUCUCUCUUCCUCGAACUCCUGUUAGUCAUUUGAUCCUCCAUAUCUCUGAAUAUUUUUGUAUUUCUUUUAUUAUUUAUUUCUUGUCUCUGCUACAUUUUACAUUGAGUAAAAGUGGGAUGUGACAGUGGGAAAUCAUUAGUGACUUAGAAAUUCCAGUUGGUCAUUGGGCCAAUUUUGAUGCUACCUUCUCUCUUUUAUUUCUCACUUUAAAAUAAAAUUUGCAAAAACAAAAAAUUAAAUAUAGUAUGAGUCCAGUUACUGGCCUAAGGAGCUAAAAGCAUUCUGGGUUUGUAUGAAGACAGCUGAGUUAUAACAAAUGAGAGUACUGUUGUGUGACUGCAUUAAUUAUUCCCUUUUUAAAUGUACAAGAGCAAGGCAUUCUACCUGACUGUGUUAUUGAGCUCUGCAGCAUACAUGUGACAGAGCUAAAACAAACAAGCAAACAAAAGAAACCACAGCUUUAGGAUACUCUGUUCAUGAAUAUAGCCUGAAAAUGAUAAUCAAGAAGUAAACUUUUACCAGUAUUAAGGAACAUUAAGCUGCCUAUCUCUCAGUGAAUUUCAGAAUGAUAUUUUAAAAGUUAGUUUAGGCUGGGCACUGUAGCUCAUGCCUAUAAUCCCAGCACUUUGAGAGGCAGAGGCCAAGGCAGGAGGAUCACUUGAGCCCCGGAUUUUGAGACCAGCCUGGGCAACAUAGCAAGACACUGUCUCUAAAAAAAAAUAAAAAUAAAAAAUCUUAGCUGGAUAUGGUGGUGUGCACAUGUAGUCCCAGCUAUUUGGGAGGCUGAGAUGGGAGGAUCACUGAGUCCAGAGUUUGAGGUAACUGUGAGCUAUGAUCACACUGCUGCAGUCUAGCCUGGGUGACAGAGUGAGACCUCAUCUCUAAAUAAACAAAAAAGUCAGUUUGUCAAGGAAAUGAAACCCUUCUGAAAAUUGGUGAAUGCAGUCCUGUCAGAGAUUUAGAUUUUUGAAGAUGCUGAUACAUAGAAGAUUGGAAGACAUGAAUAUCUUAAAUGUUAACUACUUUUAAUUCAUUGGUCUAAGACUCAGUGUUAACUGUCAUGUAUAAGAUUUUAUUAUUUGUUUUAUGUUGCUUCUGUAUAUACCUUGAGGUGUUUAAGAAAAUAUCUUGUUUCAAACUGGGAUUGAAGGAAGUUAUCUGCAGUCUUUAAAAAAAAAUUCUUAGAAUAAUUAAGAGAAA